AAUGUGAUUGUGAAUAUGAAUUUUAAAAAGUUCAGCAACCUUGCUAAACUCUUUUAUUAAUUAACAUAAUUUGCGUGUUAGAUUGUCUUUGAUUUUCUAUGUAAACCUGGCAGCGUGCUCCUUAAAAAUAUUUAGAAUUAAUAUUUUAAUUAGGUAAUGCAAUCAACUCCAAAACUAAAAGCACAUUUCAAACAUCCACCAUAACGCUUUCCUUCUCACUCUUGUCCUUCUCAGUUUCUUACCGUUAACCUCACACAGCUGACGACCGUUAUUAAUUUUCCAAUUUAUUUUUCCUUGGCUUUUUUGUGCCACGCACGCAAACACAAUUUAGAUUCUUUUUACCCUCUUCUAUUCGCAAAUAUAGCAAACUACAGAAUGAGUUCUGCACUUUGCCUUUCUCCCUUUGGUAUAGCUGGUAAAAUAAAAAUUUUAAAGUCUCUUUAAUAGCAAAAGGGGAGGGGACACGAGGUGCGGAGGUCGCAAACGACAGAGUCGGCCAGGGACCUGGCUAGAGAGGCCCGGAAGUGGCUUCUGUGCCCCGCCCUGCGGGUGGUUCGCUAGUUUCGGGCACUUUGUGAGUAUGGGGUGAGUAGGGGACGCCGACUGGGCGUCCGCUUUCCAGCGUGGGGUUAAGCCUCCUUCUGGGGCUCUCCUGCUGUGGGUCCUGCCAUUCUUUUGUCCCCGGGUACAGGGAUCUGCAGAAAUAGCUCUGGAAGCUGGAGUGAGGCCUGAGGACUGCCUUGGCCCGGGAUGGCUAGAGAAUUUCGUGAAAGCGCAGCCCUGGGUGCCCAGUCUACGGAAGACCAGACGGAGCUUCUGGUCAUAAAGGUGGAGGAAGAAGAGGCCGGUUUUCCUAGUAGCCUGGAUCUGGGCCCCGAGCGCUCCCGCCAGCACUUCCGAGGCUUCCGCUUCCCGGAGGCUGCGGGCCCCCGCGAGGCGCUGAGCCGGCUCCGAGAGCUCUGCAGACAGUGGCUGCAGCCUGAGAUGCACAGCAAGGAGCAGAUCCUGGAGCUGCUGGUGCUGGAGCAGUUCCUGACCAUCCUGCCGGGGAACGUGCAGAGCUGGGUGCGGGAGCAGCAUCCAGAGAGCGGGGAGGAGGUGGUGCUGCUGCUGGAGUAUUUGGAGAGGCAGCUGGAGGAGCCGGCGCCGCAGGUUCCAGGUGUUGACCAGGGACAAGAGCUUCCCUGUUGCAAGAUGGCACUGUUGCCACCAACCCCAGAGUCACAAGGUAGCCAAGCUCAGCUAAUGAAGGCUCUGCUCAAGCAUGAAUCUCUGGGAUCCCAACCCUUGCAAGACGGAGUUCCCCAGGUCCCUGUGUUUGCCCACGGAGGGUACUGCAGAGGAGAUGCAGUGACAGCUUCUAGGGUUCCUCCAGAGUCCCAGGGGUUGCUGAAAGUGGAAGAUGUGGCCCUGAGCCUCGCCCCUGAAUGGACACAGCUGGAUUCAUCUCAGGUGAAUCUCUAUAGAGAUGAAAAGCAGGAGAACCAUGGCAGCCUGGCCUCCCUGGGUGGUGAAAUACAGACUCAGAGCAGGGACUUGCCUCCAGCCGAGGAGCUUCCAGAAAAGGAGCAUGGGAAGAUAUCGUGCCACCUGAGUGAAGACAUUGUCCAGAUUCCUACAUGUGCAGAAGCUGCUGAACAGGAGGGCAGGUUACAAAGAAAGCAGAAAAAUGUCGUGGGGAGUAGGCGACAUUAUUGCCAUGAAUGUGGAAAGAGUUUUGCUCAAAGUUCAGGCCUGAGUAAACACAGGAGAAUCCAUACUGGUGAGAAACCCUACGAAUGCGAGGAGUGUGGCAAAGCCUUCAUUGGGAGCUCUGCCCUCGUCAUUCAUCAGAGAGUCCACACUGGUGAGAAGCCAUAUGAGUGUGAAGAAUGUGGCAAGGCUUUUAGUCACAGCUCAGACCUUAUCAAACACCAGAGAACCCACACUGGGGAGAAGCCCUACGAGUGUGAUGACUGUGGAAAGACCUUCAGCCAGAGCUGCAGCCUCCUUGAACAUCACAGAAUCCACACUGGGGAGAAGCCUUAUCAGUGCAAUAUGUGCGGCAAAGCCUUUAGGCGAAGUUCACAUCUCCUGAGACAUCAGAGGAUUCAUACUGGGGAUAAAAAUGUUCAGGAGCCUGAGCAGGGAGACGCCUGGAAAAGUAGGAUGGAAAGCCAGUUGGAAAAUGUUGAAACUCCCAUGUCUUACAAAUGUAGUGAGUGUGAAAGAAGUUUCACUCAGAAUUCAGGCCUCAUUGAACAUCAAAAAAUCCACACUGGUGAGAAACCCUAUCAGUGUAACGCAUGUGGAAAAGGCUUCAGUCGAAUCUCAUACCUUGUUCAACAUCAGAGAAGCCACGCGGGGAGAAACAUCCUAUCACAGUGACCACGCCGUACAUGCGAGUCGGUGCUCAGUUGUGACCGAUCUGAAGCCACUCACCCUGGAGUCUUGAUUACAGAAAUUGUGGACUGGGCUUCGUUUACCACUACACAUUAUCAGGUGUUAGAAAAUAUAGGCUGGGUUAGAUGAAGUAUCUUCUAAAUUCUAGAAGGUGUUUGGAAUCAAUGGAAUCAAAACACCCUUGAUAGGAGACUAUGGGAAAGUUGUCUAGAAGAGGAAUUGGUUCAUAUGAUUAUCAAGGCUGAGAAGUCCCAGGUUCUCCGAUCUGCAAACUAGAGAUGUAGGAGAGCCAACGGAGUGAGCAGUCAAAAGCCAGCAGAUUCAAGACCCAGAAGAGUCAGUGUUCUAGUUUGAGUCUGAAGGCCAGACAAGACUGAUGUCCCAGCUCCAGAUGGUCAAGAGGCGUACCCCUUGAGGUAGCAUCAUCUUUUUUGUUUUCUUCCUAACUUCAACUAAUCAGAUGAGGGCCACCCUCAUUAGGGAAGGGAAUCUGCUUCACCUGGUCUACUGAGGUAAUGGUUGAUCACAUCCAAAAUCAAACACUCAGAAUAACGUUUGACCAAAUAUCUGGGGACUCUGUGGCCCAGUCAAGUUGACACAUAAAAUUGGCCAUUACAAUACUAUAGUUUCAACAUUAAAACUACAGUAGAGUAUUACAAUUUCAGUAAAGCAUUAAAACCUUUAACCUGUGCUGCCCCCUUUUGUAAGUUCUUCCAAAUGGCAAUAGGAGCCUGGGAAAUGAUGUUUGUAGCCUCCCUACUGAGCUUACAGAUCAGGAUAGAACGGCUGGUAUGAGGCAGGCUGAGGGACAAGAGAUAAACUGUAUCACCAUUGUAUCCUUAGCAUCUAGCAGAUUUACUGAUGAAUAAUUCUGAAAAUUGGCUGGUUCUACUUGUUCUUUUGUAUUAUUAACAUAACGUAAAAUCUCCUGACAGUGAUUGCUGGAGACCAAAGUAUUCACAUUAUUAUGUCAGGUCAAAUGCUAAAGAAUCAAAGAUGAACAAGACAUUAUUUCUGCCCUCGAAGAACAAAAACCCUAAACAGACUUCGUUCUUCUAAGGCAUUUUAUGCAUUUCUGUUCUCACUUUAGUGAGACUUAACAGACUUAAUAGCUCUUCCUUUAGGAGAAUGACUGCACCAUGGCUGCCUGGCAACUUGCAUAUCUUCAUAUGAGCCACACAGACGAGGAUUUAACACUAGCUGAUCUAAGCACCGUAACUCACCUAGAACAUGAGUGCACGGUAGGUUUUGUGAGGAGCUGAUAGAAGGCCGUUUCCCACAUACCUCCCUACCUACCAUGAGGCUGUCACGAGACAAUUUCCUCUAACGAGGAAUGAGGCUUUGUACCUCCCUCCAUUUAAAGUAUAACUGCUAGUUAAGCUUUUCAAGAGUUAACAAGAAACAGGAAAGUAAGUUAGAGAUAUUAAAUAAUUUCUAGUUUAUAAAUAUAAAAGAAAGAAUGAUCUGAAUGGGAGUAUGGGUGGAGACAACUUGUCAUCCUUUCAGGAGGAAUCUACAAAAAUUCUGGGUGGUCCAGGUACUUCCCUUCAAGGAGAUCCAGGAGGGCCUUCUCUGCCACAAUUUUUUAUCAUUGGAUUAACUGUAAAACACCCAAGAUUAAAGUAUUAAGUAAUAAUGGCUUAAUUAGCUAAUCUUUUUACUAAUUCAUUCAUUACACCUUAGCAACAGAAGGCUGAAUAUAGGUUGCUUGGAGAGCAGGGAAGAGUCCAGGUAAGGGUGGGAGAAAUUAUCAAGGGACACGAGGAAACUUUUUUGGGUGACAUAUUGAUGGCAGUGAUUGUUUCACAGGUGUAAACAUGUUAGAACUUAACAAGCUGUACACGUAUGCAGUUCAUUACAUAUCAAUCUCCUUCAGUAAAGCUGUUUAAAAAGUCAUAACGAAGCCAGAUAUGGUGGCUCGUGCCUGUAAUUGCAGCACUUUGGAAGGCUGAGGCAGGAGGAUCGCUUGAGGAUAAGAGUUUAGGACCAGCCUGAACAACAAAGAGACCCUGUCUCUACAAAAGACAAAUAGACGAACAAAUUACCUCCGUGUGGUGCUGCAUGCCUGUAGUCCCAGCUAGUUGGGAGACCAGAGUUCAAGGCUGCAGUGUGCUAUGACUGCACCAUUGGACUCCAGUCUAGAGCAACACCCUGUCUCUAAAAAAAUAAAAUAAAUAAAAUUUGUUUUAAAAGUCAUGAGGUUACAUUGCAUAUUCUAGGCAAAUACAUUUGAAAGUCUUGAUGAAAUGGGUAAUUUCCAAGGCAAAGAUUACCAAAGUGGAACCCAUUAUAAAUAGCCUGAAAAGAUCAUUUUCAUAGAAUAGAGGAAAUUACCAGAAAUUAUCCCACAAAAAAGCAUACGACUCAAGGGUUUCACAUCAGAAACUAUCCUUCUAAGACUAGCUAGAUCUGAUGCUUAAUAAAUUGUUCUAAAGCAUUAAAAAUGAACACAGACUUAAAUUAUAUUUAUGAUGCAAGUUAAGAGUGAAAAUCUAAACCUGAAAAAUAUGGUAUAAAAAUUAUGGACCAAUUUCACAUGAAUAGUGAAGAAAAUGUACUAACUAAAAUAUUAACAAGUAAACCCAUUAACACAUUAAGAAAAUAACAUGCCGUGGCUGAGGUUUGUUCUAGGAAUGCAAGGUUGGCUCAAUAUUAGGAAAUCAUUUUAUAUAAUAGUAAUAAAGAAAAAAAUUGUGUGAUUUGCAGAUACUGGAAAAGCCUUUUACUGAAUGCUGUCCAUCUUUUAAAAUAAUGAAUGUAUUAAUAAUACCUAUGCAAAAAAUUUAGGUAUGUGCAGUACAGAGAAACCUAGAAUUCUGAGAUAAUCACUAAAAAGUUUUGAAAUACAUGGUUCCUGAAUUUAGUGCCCUACUAUAAAAUAUAUAAGCUGCAUUCUCUCAUCAUGGGUAGAGAUUGGGCUACAUUCAACUUAUUCACAGCCUCUAAAGAUUCUUUCAUAUUUUUGCCUAUAGGUUUUAGAACAGAAAAUAAUAAGCAAGUUACUUAAUGUAUUAGCCUUCACAAUGUGUAUUAUGUGUUAUCUAUAUGAAAAAAGUAUCAGUCAUUAUCUGUCAAUAGACUAUAUGUGAAGUAUAUUUUUCUAUCUUAAAAAAAUAGCUGAGUGCGGUGGCUCACGCUUGUAAUUCCAGCACUCUGGGAUGAAACCCUGUUUCUACUAAAAAUACAAAAAUUAGUAGGGCGUGGUGGUGGGCACCUGUAAUCCCAGCUACUCAGGAGGCUGAGGCAGGAGAAUUGCUUGAACUCAGGAGGCAAAGGUUGCAGUGAGCUGAGAUAGUGCCAUUGCACUCCAACCUGGGCAACAAGAGCAAGACUCCAUCUCAAAAUACAUGAAAUAAACAAGCCAAACCUGGAAAAAUAUACUCUCUGACGGGAUACCUACAUGGUCUUGUAUUGGAGAAUAUAAAGGCAGUCUCAAAUUUACAGAAAUACCCAGCAAUUCAAUAAUCGAGUUCUUUUCACUACACUUAUUGAAACAUUAUAUAUGUGAUUUUUGUGUCCCAGGGUACAAACACAAGCCUGCUCAGCCCAUAAAGAAAAUAUAUAUGUUUACAGUAAACAGUAGACAAUCAUACUACUGGGUGCACUUGCUGAAUGAAUUAAAUAUAUGAUACUAGAGCAGGCAUGAAGAAAAAGACCUGUCCUCCAAAGCAGAGAUAAUCAUCCGGGAGGCAGAUCACAAAUCCAGAGAGGCAAGUUAUUUCAUUUCAAAAGUCCUGGUUGCGUCUACUUACAGAACCCUCUGGAAAAGAAAAAUAACUUCUAAUAUUUCCUUUUCUUGACCUAAGACACUCAAUGUUUUUACUGGCUAAAAUUAGCAUUUUAGAAUACUCAUUUCCCAUACACCUUGCCUACUUAUAUUAAUUAUAUUAACUUUUCAAAACUGGAAACUCCCUUGUUGAGGUAUGAUUUUUGUCCAUAUAACUUCCCACAGUCCUCUCAUUUAUAAGAGUCUCUCUAAUAUGAAUUCACUGAUUUUUCCCAAGGUCCAACCUCUGAAGGCUUCUCCAUACUCGAACACUGGCAGGGUUUCCCUUUAGUGAGAACUCUCCAAUGCUGAAGAAAGCUGGUACACAAUGGAAAGCAUUUCCACAUUCGUCACGUUUAUUGUGCAGAUUCUCUGGUGCACAGUCAGUCCUUGCCUCUGGGUGAAGGUCUUCCUCCAUUUGUCAAACAAGGUUGUAUAAGGUUUCCUUGCUGGACAAAGGCCUCCUCAGUUAUCACAUUUAUGCAAUCUCUUACAUGGAUUCUUUGUUGUCAAAUAAGGCCAUGUGGCUGAAAACUUUCCCACAUUCCUUAUAAGGAUAGCAUUUUUCCUUGUAGUGGUUCUUCUGGGGGAAAAAGAGGGAUCCACUAUAAACAAAAGCCUUUCAAAACUUGUUGAUUGCAGAGAUUCUCUGAAUUGUGGACUCCAUGAUGCUGAGUCACAAUUCCCCAGAAACUACAGCUUUUCCCAUACUUACUGCAUGGAUGUUGCAGUUCAUCAGACAUUCCCCACCCCACAAAACUCAGCAUCUCCAGAAUGUUUUUGUUUUGGAGCCAAGUCCUUAGUUUCCUUUCUCAGUAACACCAUCUAAAACAAAAUGCACAGACAAUUCAAAUGUCAGUUGCCUCUUCCGAAAUGAGAUUUAUGAUAGAGCACAGUGAAUAAAAAUAAAACCCACUUUUAUUUAAAGUGCAUGUCUUUUCUAAGACUCUAAACAAGCAUCUCAUUUUUGUGACAUGUCCAAGAAGGCACGUGGCAGAGUAGGAAUAGGGGGGUCCAAUUUGGGUGAGAAGAGACAGCUAGGCAGAAAGAGACUGGAGGUGUAGGAAAACUUUUCACAAAAUGUGGCAACAAAAGAAAUCAGGAAAGUAUAAUCAAAAAAGUUAAGAUCAGUUUGAAUCCAAAGCUGAGAAACAAGGAGUAUCAUGAAACGAAGAGAAAGGUUAAUUUGCUAAGGACAGUUAAAAGGACUGUUUCUACUUACUGAUAUGUACUGGCUACUACUAUAGACCUACAAAAUGUUCAGUAGAUAUUUGUUGAGUGGGUCAGUAAACAACCAGAUAUGACCAAAGUUAACUUGAAACAGUAAUAGCUACACCAGUUUCAAAAUAUAUACCGAUCUGAUGUGGGGCAACCAGUAAACCGGAAAAUCCACAGUGAGAAGUAACUUUUCUAGGUAAUAUUCAUGUCUACAACAAAGAAAGCAACACUUUGAAGCUAAAGGAGUUAAAUGGGUCAAAAAGCCAAAACCCCAAUCCCCUACAAAUAUGGCUGCGAUUUUCUACUUCAAGAAUCAGGUAGAUAAUGAGAAGGAGAAGGGUAGAGGCAAGGUUUUUGGGGAGAGGACGCCACUAAAAGUUCUAAAAGAUUCCCCUGUGAGACUUUUCUCUUCUUUCUCUCCAGAGAUGUUCUCUCAUCAUCUUUCACAUCAAAAGGCAAUCAGAGGUAAACUACGACUCUUAGGUUUGAUCUGAAACCUUUGAUUCCAAGGUACUAUCUCUGUCAUAAGCAUAACUUGUUCCAUCCUUUAGCCUGAGACCUAAAGGCAAUGGGAUAAAAAUGGUCUUGGGAAAUGGAAUUUGAAGCUAAACCCUAAGAUAAAACACUCAACAAACAAAAAACCCAAUAUAGAAAGAGAAGGCCCCAGAGAUGCACUUAAUAAAUAGCAGGAGAACUAAAACCCAAGAGGGAAAUGUUGGGAUAUGGUUCCAGAGACAUCUGGUGGAUCCUAAAGUUGAGGUUUGCUGCUUUCUAUCCUAUUCCCAAAAGCUUUUGCUAGUCAAGCCAUAAGUGAAUCCUCCCAACGUUUCCCACCUGUGGUUUGUCCUUCACUCAAGCUGUGUCUCCAACUUCUCCAGCAUCACGGAUUGCCUCCUCUCCACAUUCUGGAUAUUAUCCUACCUAUGUCUGCAGCUUCAUAAGCAGGGGCCAGGACCUGUUCCAGCACCCACUUCUGCACAUAUAUUUCUGGCCUCAGGAACUACUGGCAAAGCUUCCCAAGGUUUCUGACAGCUCUGUGAAGUCCAGGUAGCCAUAUCCACAUCAUAACAAUGUGAAGCCUUCUUCCUUUACCCUCAGUCACUAUUAGAGAUGUUUCCUACAACACGACUGCCAUUCUGGAAUGAGAGAGCUCAGGAGAAGAUCCACUCCAGCUUGGGGUUCACAGUGAUUUUUCCGAAGUAUUUCCUUGUAGGUGGUCUUCUUCCUGAGGCAUACAAUAACAAUGUUAACAGAAACUAAAUUUUGUUUAGCUCUUUAGCCAGGAGCUCACUUAUCUGAACAUGGCACUGAAGGAAAAUGGAACUCUGUGUCAGCAAGCUAAAUUAAGAAAGCAAGAGUGACUGCAAAUUAUUAGCCGCAUCUGCUAGCCUUUGACUCUCCGAAAGUUUAUAUUAAUAAAACUUUAAAGAUCA